GACGAACGCUGGCGGCGUGCUUAACACAUGCAAGUCGAACGGAAAGGCCCUGCCUUUGUGGGGUGCUCGAGUGGCGAACGGGUGAGUAACACGUGAGUAACCUGUCCUUGACUUUGGGAUAACUUCAGGAAACUGGGGCUAAUACCGGAUAGGAGCUCCUGCUGCAUGGUGGGGGUUGGAAAGUUUCGGCGGUUGGGGAUGGACUCGCGGCUUAUCAGCUUGUUGGUGGGGUAGUGGCUUACCAAGGCUUUGACGGGUAGCCGGCCUGGGAGGGUGACCGGCCACAUUGGGACUGAGAUACGGCCCAGACUCCUACGGGAGGCAACAGUGGGGAAUAUUACACAAUGAGCGGAAGCCUGAUGCGACAACGCCGCGUGCGGGAAGACGGCCUUCGGGUAGUGAACCGCUUUCGCCUGUGACGAAGCGUGAGUGACGGUAAUGGGUGAAGAAGCACCGGCUAACUACGUG
rnacentral:rRNA from 1 species